rnacentral:rRNA from 1 species
UACGGAGGGUGCAAACGUUGCUCGGAAUCAUUGGGCGUAAAGCGCACGUAGGCGGACCAUCAAGUCGGAUGUGAAAUCCCUCGGCUUAACUGAGGACGUGCAUUCGAAACUGAUGGCCUUGAGUACGAAAGAGGAUCGCGGAAUUCCCGGUGUAGAGGUGAAAUUCGUAGAUAUCGGGAGGAACACCAGUGGCGAAGGCGGCGAUCUGGGUCGAUACUGACGCUGAGGUGCGAAAGCGUGGGGAGCAAGCAGG